rnacentral:rRNA from 1 species
UAUUGGACAAUGGGGGCAACCCUGAUCCAGCAAUGCCGCGUGUGUGAAGAAGGCCUUCGGGUUGUAAAGCACUUUCGAUGGGGAAGAAAAGCUCGGUGUUAAUACCGCCGAGUCUUGACGUUACCCAGAGAAGAAGCACCGGCUAACUCUGUGCCAGCAGCCGCGGUAAUACAGCGGGUGCAAGCGUUAAUCGGAAUUACUGGGCGUAAAGCGCACGUAGGUGGUUUGGUAAGUUGGAUGUGAAAUCCCCGGGCUCAACCUGGGAACUGCAUUCAAUACUGCCUGGCUAGAGUAUGGUAGAGGGAAGCGGAAUUCCACAUGUAGCGGUGAAAUGCGUAGAUAUGUGGAGGAACAUCAAUGGCGAAGGCAGCUUCCUGGACUAAUACUGACACUGAGUGCGAAA